rnacentral:lncRNA from 1 species
AUGGGAGGUGGGGACUCAUUAUGGAGGCCUUGCUCCUCCCCCGGGGGUCCAGGCAGUUUGGAGACCAGGCGGGCUGCCUCCUGCCCUAUGGGUGCCUUCCCCGCUGUGGUUCCCACCCCAGGACGGAGUGGAUCGGAGAGGGAGGGAAGACAGAGUGGUGAGAAGAGCAGGGCGCCUUCGGGGCACACGCUCCCCAACCCAGCCACUCGCUGCUCCCUCCGGCGGGGGGCCCUGGGGUCUCACCAGCGUCAGGCUCCUGCCAGCUCCUCUGGGCCCCAGAACCGGGUGGGCCCAGAUGGGGGCCGGUGGGUGGCCAGCCUCGAACCGGGGAGGCGCUGGGGAGCGCGGGGAGCCCCCAUUCCCAAGAGAGGCUUUUUCCAGCAGAAGGUGUCGACAUUACAGAAAGGAAAUAUUAACAUUAUAAUUAUAAUUCUGUUUAUUUAAUUAAGUUAUUAAACAGGUCCGGCUUGGAAGAGAGACAAAAAAACCCCCUUAGUUUCGUUCUAAUUGUUUCUCCCAGGAUAUAAUUAGAGACUUUGAGGAGGAAUCAGAGCCAGAAAAGGCGCAGGCUCUGACGGUCUUGGGGUCUAGGCCUGGGGUCUGGGCCUGGGCUCCCGGCAGAGCGGCCCCAGGUGGGCGGGGGCGUACCCAGGGAACAUGGGCUCCAUGAGGGCAGGGAUUUCUGGCCUGUGCCUGUGGUGUUCCCACGCCCAGCACACAGUAGGUGCUCAACCAACAGGAGUCAGGUUGAAGGGCUGUGGAGUGACUAUUUCAGUUGCCCCAAAGACCCUUCGCUGAUGGUUUGUCCAGAAAAAAUGCCCCAGCUCCUUGCUUGGGCUAGACUCAGCCAGAACUCACUACCCUGGCCCACGUGCUGGUCAAGAGCAGUGUCCAUCCCGGCUGCGGGGGCCAUCCCGAGGGCCAUGCCUGGUGGGUAUACUGACCUUCACCUCUUCCUGCAGCCUCUGCCCCGGUCACUAGUGGCUGGUGACCAAGAAGGAUAGCGUCACCUUGGGGAGGGGACCAGCAGAUCCUGCCAGCCCCCAAACUCCAGGGCAGCUCCUGACCCCUGUGUCUCUGAAAGGGGAGGGUUUCCUAAGGCCCCGGACAUGAGGUCUCUGAAGGUUCUAGCGACUACAGCCUAUUCCCCUAGCUCCCGACCCCCACUCCAGCCCUCCACUCUGUGGAGCCAAUUUGGGGACCUGAAGCCAGGCCCGGAGGAGUCUCUGCUGAGGCCCUGGAGGGUGCCGGCCCCCAGGAGGCCCCAGAUCCGGUCCUGUGCCCCCCGAGCUGACAGCUGCCCCCAGGCUCCGUGCAGAACCUCCCGUCGGACGGGAAGUGUCUUGUUCCAGCUGGCACAGCCUUAUCGAACAGUCAGGCUUUGUAAGUGUGGACAGCUGCGGCAAGGGGGACAGCUCUGGGCUGGGGGUGGGGGCCAGUGGAGGGGCUGGAUUUGGGACGCUGAGAAGAGGGAGGGCAAAGCCAGCAGCGCCUGCAGCGGGUGGUUCAUGGAAGGGAUUGCAGUGAUUUGAUUCUGGUGGAGCUUCCUGGAGAGCUGAGCCCCCCGAAGGGGUGUCAUAUGUGAGGUCUCAUUGAGGAGGGACCGUGAGGAGAAGGGGAACGUGUGUGGGGAAGGUAGAGGGGGGCCUGGGCCUCCCCCCAAGGCCUCCCAGGCCUGCCCCUGCC